GGGCCCGCACAAGCGGUGGAGCAUGUGGCUUAAUUCGAUGCAACGCGAAGAACCUUACCAAGGCUUGACAUGCACUUGCACGGCCUAUGAAAGUAGGCCUCCUUCGAGGGUAGUGCACAGGUGCUGCAUGGCUGUCGUCAGCUCGUGCCGUGAGGUGUUUGGUUAAGUCCAGCAACGAGCGCAACCCUUGUGAAUAGUUGCUCGCCCUUUGGGCAGCACUCUAUUCAGACUGCCUGUGAUAAGCAGGAGGAAGGUGGGGAUGACGUCAAGUCCGUAUGGCCUUUAUGCCUUGGGCUGCACACGUGCUACAAUGAACGGUACAGAAAGAAGCAAGACCGCGAGGUGGAGCUAAUCUCCAAAACCGUUCCCAGUUCAGAUUGGAGUCUGCAACUCGACUCCAUGAAGCCGGAAUCGCUAGUAAUGGCGCAUCAGCUACGGCGCCGUGAAUACGUUCCCGGGCCUU
rnacentral:rRNA from 1 species